UACGAAGGGGGCUAGCGUUGCUCGGAAUCACUGGGCGUAAAGCGCACGUAGGCGGACUCUUAAGUCGGGGGUGAAAUCCUGGAGCUCAACUCCAGAACUGCCUUCGAUACUGGGAGUCUUGAGUUCGGGAGAGGUGAGUGGAACUGCGAGUGUAGAGGUGAAAUUCGUAGAUAUUCGGAAGAACACCAGUGGCGAAGGCGGCUCACUGGUCCGGUACUGACGCUGAGGUGCGAAAGCGUGGGGAGCAAACAGG
rnacentral:rRNA from 1 species